AAGGUCCGUCGAAGACUACGACGUUGAUAGGCCAGGUGUGGAAGCACAGUAAUGUGUGUAGCUAACUGGUACUAAUUGACCGUGCGGCUUGACCAU
rnacentral:rRNA from 1 species